UAAAAUAUCUGAAAAAUUAGAGCACCCCUUUCAGAAAGGUUCAACAGAAAGCAUUUGGGAAGUGGCAAACCCUAAACAGGGGUACUUAUUUUUGUUUAUACUUUGUACAGUGUCACAGAAGCUUAUUCUUGAUCUAUCACUGGUACAAGGGAGUAGAGUAAAUAAGAAAUUAGGUCCAGCAAAUGACACCACAUAAAACGGUCAGAUAACCUUUGCUAAACGGUCUCGAACGGCUUCCCCUAACGGCGCCUCUAUGAAAGACCUGGUGCCUAAAGCCUUCACGUUUGCCCCUCUAAACUCCAAAAAGAACUUCAUUACUUCACUUCACUGGAGGUUUUGGUCAGGUCCUGGAUCAAGCGACUGCGCUCUGCUGUUCUAGGACCUGUGUCCACUCAGCCGGCCACCAGUCUGGCUUGAUUGCCUUGACCCUCACAUCUCUCUUGUCGCUGAUGGCGAGGGUUGCGUUUUCCUUCAGUGCUGCAUCGAGCCGCAACAGGCCCAUCCCACGGCUGCCGAGAGCGGUGCUUACCGUACCCACUUUCUUACCAGAGGCGUCGUCCACGACAUCUGAGCCCGGAGCAACAGCCUGCUCAAGUUCUGAUAACAGAGGUUGCAGAAUCAAUAUCCGGUUGACAGAGACUGGAUGAUUGCAUCAUUUAGCACAGAAUAAAUACCUUUGUCAUUUUCAUCUACAAACUUCAAGGGUAUCAGGCGCUUCCUGAUGACACCACGGUGGUGUGUGCGCGCGAUCAGCUCCUGACCAAUAUAGCACCCCUUGUCAAAUGAAAUAGCAUUCAGGCCUGCAAGAUUGUACUCGAGCGGAAUUGCUUCACCUGAUAUAAAAGUAGUUUUAGCAAAAGAGGAAAGAACAAGCAUUUUAAUGUUUAAGCUGGAAAUGUAGGUAAACAUAGUGUAACAGCCAAAAAUGAUAUAAUUAGGAAAGCAAGAAAGGGCAGGAGAAAAGAUGUUAGUUAAGCAUAGACAGAGUACCCAUACCAACUUGCCCAUUUGCUACAGCCUACAAGAGACAAGAGACUGCUUCUAAGCUAUGCCCCUACAGCCACCCUACUGAACAAUUCACUAGCACGAAUCGACCAGAAUCUCUGGGCUCCUAGCAUUACUAUCUCAAGUCGCAAGACAGAAAUGAAAUCGCCUAUACGAUUUACGCUACUGUAGGCUUCUAAGCUCUUCCUUAUAGAUAAUAUAUGCCAUUGUAAAAUAUCCAUCACCACCACUAACCAACCAGAAUGACCUGACAAACCAUGAGUACGCAAUCUAAUUCCUUAAAAUUGCUUCAGUAGAUGCAGAUGUUUUCAUCAAUAGUUUUACUGUUGUUAACAGGAUGUAGCACAGUUCUUCCUGUACCAUUGAAUUACAUUGCUGGGUAGCAGUUUAAAUGGCGACUAAACGAAUCAUUCCAGAACCGAAGCCAUGUCCUUAACCAAGGAACAUCAAAUAGCUAUACAAAUCUCUAAGUAUGCUGAUGUUUCAGUGUCUUAACAGAUCAACUGGAAAUUAAUCCUACCUUUUGGUAUUUCAGUUGAGCCUUCUGCAACCCCAUUUUCUAUACGCCAAAGCAAAUAAUGGCGUUCAUCUGCUUCUUUGUCAGCCUCAACAAGUGGUGCUGCGGGCAAAACCAAGAGUUACUUGCAUGUUCAAAUAACCAUCGGUGGAUAUUGAGCACCAUAUCAAAUGUAAUUUUAGAAAGCACCAAGAACAAAUGACUUACGUAUUGUAUCAGCUGGAAAUAUUCCUCUGUAGCCAAGAAUGUCAAGCCGAGGAUCUUUGAGCCACUGCCAACCAUGACCGUUCCCUUGUGCAGAUGACUCAGCAGCAUGGUCACUACCUUGUCCCCAUCCAAUGGAUUGAGCCUCGGGUUCUUGAGUGGAAGGUCCAGCAUGUGCCACAUCGUUUCCAAAUCUUUGCCAGC
rnacentral:lncRNA from 1 species